GAUAAAUAUACCGGUUCUCGUUAGAACACCGAAGUCAAGCAUCAUUGGGCGCGGUCAGUACUUGGGAGGGUGACCACCUGGGGAAUUUUCG
rnacentral:rRNA from 1 species